CCGAUCCUCCCACCCUUUGUGUACCCACCUCUGUUGCUUUGGCGGGCCGCGGUCCUCCGCGGCCGCCCUCCGUCCGGGGGGUGGCCAGCGCCCGCCAGAGGACCAUCAAACUCCGGUCAGUGAACGUUGCCGUCUGAAAAACAAUCAAUAAACUAAAACUUUCAACAACGGAUCUCUUGGUUCUGGCAUCGAUGAAGAACGCAGCGAAAUGCGAUAAGUAAUGUGAAUUGCAGAAUUCAGUGAAUCAUCGAAUCUUUGAACGCACAUUGCGCCCCUCGGUAUUCCGAGGGGCAUGCCUGUUCGAGCGUCAUUACAACCCUCAAGCUCUGCUUGGUGUUGGGCACCGCCCUUCCGCGGGCGCGCCUCAAAGACCUCGGCGGUGGCGUCUUGCCUCGAGCGUAGUAGAAAACACCUCGCUUUGGAGCGCACGGCGCCGCCCGCCGGACGAACCUUUUGAACUUUCUCAAGGUUGACCUCGGAUCAG
rnacentral:rRNA from 1 species